GAACGGGUGAGUAACACGUGAGUUACCUGCCCCGAAGUGUGGGAUAGCCUCUCGAAAGGGAGAUUAAUACCCCAUGUGAUCGCAAGAUUAAAGGCGGCCAUCUUUUGAUGGCUGUCGCUUCGGGAUGGGCUCGCGGCCUAUCAGCUAGUUGGUGAGGUAACUGCUUACCAAGGCGAUGACGGGUAGCUGGUCUGAGAGGACGACCAGUCACACUGGAACUGAGACACGGUCCAGACACCUACGGGUGGCAGCAGUCGAGAAUCAUUCGCAAUGGGCGAAAGCCUGACGGUGCGACGCCGCGUGGAGGAUGAAGGCCCUAGGGUCGUAAACUCCUGUCAUCAGGGAGUAAUGGCUCACGUAGUAACUGACGUGAGCAGUGAUAGUACC
rnacentral:rRNA from 1 species